GUUAUACUCUAAAGUUUUAUAGCUUGGUAUUUAUAUAUUUAGCUCUAUGAUCCUGUUUGAUUUGAUUUUUGUGAAAGAUGUAAGGUCUCUGCCUAGAUUCAUUAUUUUGCAUCUAGACUUCCAGUUGUUCCAAGGGUAUCUGGUGAAGGGACUCUACUUUUCUUUAUAAAAUUGCCACUGUCCCUCUGUUAAAGAUUCACUGACUACAUUUCUGGGCUCUUCAUUCUCUCCCAUCGAAUACCAGACUGUUGUGAUUAUUGUAGCUUUACAGUAAGGCUUGAAAUCAGGUAAUGUCAGCUGUCUGACUAUUUUCCUUGUUUAAAUCCAGUAUUGCAGUGGUUAUUUUGGGUGUUUUGCUUUUCUAUAGGAACCUUAGAAUCAGCUGAGAUCCACAAAAUACCUUGUUGGGAUUUUGCCCAAAAUUACAUUCAGUCUACAGAUCAGGUUGGGAAGAGACGAUAUUUUAACACUAUUUAGUCUUUCUAUGUAUGAAUUUGGAACAGCUCUGCACUUAUUAAGAUCUUUCCUUGAUUUCUUUCAUUAGCAUUUCAUUGUUUUUCUCAUAUAGAACUUGCAGAUAUUUUCUUAGAUUUAUAUAUCAGUAUUUAUUUUUGAAUGCUAAUGUAAAUAGUGCUGGCUUUAAAAAAUCAGAUUCCUACUGUUCAUUGCAUGUGUAUGGCAGAGAAACUAUCUUUUGUAUGUUACCCUCAUAGUCUGCAAUCUUGCUAUGACUGCUAAUUAGUUCCAGGAGGUUUUUAUUUGUUUGUUUGUUUAUUCUUUGGGAUUUUCCACAUACAUAGACAAUUAUAACAGCUGCAAACAAAGACAGUUUUACUUAUUCCUUCUUCUAGUUUUGUACAAUUAAUUACAAUGUUCACUGUAGGAUUUGUUUUUGUUUUCUUUUAGGUGUUCCUUAUCAAGUUGAGGAAAUUAUCUCUAUUUCUAGUAUUCUCAUUGUGAAUGAGUGUUGGAUUUCAUCAAAUAACUUUUCUGCAUCUACUGAUCUAAUCCUAUGACUUUUUUCUUUAGCCUGUUCAUGUGAAUGAUUACAUUAAUUGAUAUUUUAAUAUAGAACCAUCUUUCCAUAGCUGAAAUUAGUCCCAUUGAUGAGAAAUUGUUUUUUUAAAUAUGGCAAUAAAUGCUAUUGUAUUUAUUUCCCUAUUUUAUUGUUAGCUUAUUUUAUGAUUUUAAAAUGAAUUAAAUUUUAGCAGCCAAACAAACUUUGUGUGUGUGAGUGUGUGUCCAUGUAUAACCUUUCAAAAAGCACACUGUUAAAUGAGAGUGAAGUAGCUAGAAGUUAAUUGGCAGUGAUGUUAAGUUCAAGGGCAAACCUUCAGUGUUUUCUGUGUUUAUAUUAAAAAGCCACUUUUUAAAAUGCUGAGAACACCUUAAAGAGUUGUAUAUGUAGCAUCUCUUUAUAAAUGAAAGUGGCAGAGUUAAUAUAUCACUGUCUUUUGAGAAUAUUCUAUUUUCUUAUGUUAAGGUGCUAUUACAAAAGUGAACAUCUGGAAGGGCCCCUGGGAUGUGAUGUUACAUGUUUUCCUUCAUGCUUCUUAUUUGUCAGUCAUUUACCUGGCUUUGUGUUUCACUCCCUAAAAAAUGCAUCGCCUCUCCUGCUGUGCUUCUUGUAAUCAUGAAGGAGCUGCCAUCUAAGUGAAUAAAUAGUCUCUUUUCCAGGUGAUUAAUUAAGAUCCAUACAUUCUUCCAACCACAGAUAAGAAGUAACAGAUGCUUCACACACUGUGGCAUCAGAGUAUUAGUGAGGACCACUAGCUCAAAGAAAUUGGGCCAAUUAACAAAAAUGCUGGUGCCCAGAAGCAUGUGCUAUGAUAUUUAUAGAUCUUGAAAAGGAUAAUCUCAGACCUAACUCUUAGAUAUUUAUUAUUAUUCUGCAAUGGUUUUGUAUUGAUGAAAUGUCAUUGAAGAAAAUUGCAUUGAAAAAGUCAACAAAAAUAAAUGCAAGCCACAUUUUGUUCCUAGAUGUGUAAGACCCAUAAUUCAUGCAACUGCUGUAUCCAAGCAACAUAUGCACUUCAAAUGAACAUCAGGAUGAACACCCUAAUAGACAAGGAACAUGGAUGGAGCUGGAGGCUAUUAUUCUCAUCAAACUGUCCCAGGAAGAGAAAACCAAAUACCACAUGUUCUCACUUGUAAGUGGGAGUUAGAUGGUGAAAACUUACAAAGAAGAAAACAACAGACACCUGGGUUUACUUGAAGGUGGCGGGUGGGAGAAGGGAAAGUAACAGAAAAAAUAACUAUUGGGUACUGGGCUUAAUUCUUGGGUAAUGAGAUAUUCUGUACAACAAAUUUCCAUGACAUAAGUUUACCUGUGUAACAAGCUUUCACAUGUACUGCCGAACCUAAAAUAAAAGCUAAACAAAAGGAAAUGUGCUAAUAAUGUACUCCUUCAUCAUCCCAUUCCUAUGUAAAUAUUCAAUAAAGCAAAAUUUCUUCCCAACCUCAAAUAUAGGAGUUCAUUAUUAUCCGUUACCCAUAUACCAUAGGUUAGCAUGUGAUGAUAAUUGGUGAUAAUAAUAGAUGCUAU
rnacentral:lncRNA from 1 species